UGAAUGAAGCUGUGGGCGGGGCUAGCGGGGAGGUCGGCCCAGUGGGAUGAGCGUCACGGAAGAGGCGAGGGCCGCUGUGGGCAGGGCAUCCUGGGAGGAGAGUGGAGGCCGCUGUGGGCGGAGCGUCACGGAGAGGCAAGGGCCGACUUGGGCGGGGGCGUCUGGGAGGAGCAAGAAGGCGGCUGUGGGCUGGCCUAGCGGGGCCUCCGGAUCUGGGUCCGGGCGAGUGCUGAGCGCCUACGCUUCUAUCCGGCGGUGGGUCUCCGCUGCUGUCGGAUCCUGGGUAGGUCCCUGUUGUGCUCGCCGCCCUUAACCCGCACCGAGAGCCAUGGCCCAGCCGCCGCCCGACGUCAGUGAGGACGAGUGUCUUCCCGAGUACCGCCAUCUCUUCUGCCCGGACCUGCUACGGGACAAAGUGGCCUUCGUCACAGGUGGUGGCUCUGGGAUUGGGUUCCGAAUUGCUGAGAUUUUCAUGCGGCACGGCUGCCACACUGUCAUCGCCAGCAGAAGCCUUCCAAGAGUGUCAAUGGCUGCCAGAAAGCUGGCUGCUGCCACUGGCCAGCGAUGCCUGCCUUUGUCUCUGGACGUUCGCGCUCCCCCGGCCAUCACAGCUGCUGUGGACCAGGCACUGAAGGAGUUUGGGAAAAUUGACAUUCUCAUUAACUGUGCGGCCGGAAACUUCCUGUGCCCUGCCAGCACAUUGUCCUUCAACGCCUUCAAGACCGUGAUGGACAUUGACACCUUGGGCACCUUCAACACGUCUCGUGUGCUUUAUGAGAAGUUCUUCCGGGACCACGGAGGGGUGAUUGUGAACAUCACUGCGACCCUGGGCAGCCGGGGGCAGGUGCUUCAAGUGCACGCAGGCUCUGCCAAGGCGGCUGUGGAUGCAAUGACACGGCACUUGGCUGUGGAGUGGGGUCCCCAGAACAUCCGUGUCAACAGCCUCGCCCCUGGCCUCAUCAGCGGCACAGAGGGGUUCUGGCGGCUGGACAGGUGUCUGGGGCAAAGGAGGCCUUCUGAAGGGAAUCUUGUCCACAACCCCUCUUGGGACGCCUCCUGCGGUGCUCUUUCCAGGACCUGCCUCCCACCCACAGAGAGCAUCAAACUGGACAGUGCAGCGGCACCUGAAUCCGAGACUGGCCUCUCCCCUGGGAGCCAUGCUGUGUCCACCUUCCCUCCCCCCGGCCCCAUCUCCCGUGCUCGGGCAGGAGUGACCAGGCUAUGAUGCUGCCCGCUGAGCUGCCCGCACCACGCGGGUGUCGCCAGAGGGGCUUUGACAUUCCAGAGCUGCCCCAGGAGUGGGGAUGCAGCCAAGGUGCUGCCCCACGUGCCUGCCCUGCCUCGCCCCGGCCUGGGAGGCCUUCAUUCUGCUGCUGCAGAAAGCGGGUGUCCCAUGGGUGUCCCGAGGCAGCCCUGCUGCAGAAAGCGGGCCUUUCAGGCUCCCUGUCUUCCCUUCCUGGCUCUUCCAUUUUGGGAUCUUAUUCGACUAAACCAGGAAGCCAAACCAGGGAGCCUGGAAAAGCAUCUUUGACCCCUCCCACCCCAGGCCUGGUAUCCUGGAUCCCCUUACCAGGGUGUCGGGCUGCAUACGGGAUCCCCCCCGCCUGGGGGUCACCCAUCCCUAUCAGCCUUUGGUGACACGGGCUGGGUUGCUCCCCACCUGUCCCGGAGCCAGUCUGUCCUUUGCUGGGACGUCCUAGUGGACUUAGUCCUUUGCCAUUCAGAGACUACUUUCUAGGUCCUCCAGCUGGCCAUUGUCUUCAUCAGCACCCCCCAUAGUUCCAAAGGGCUCAGAAAAUUCUGGCCUCGGGCGCCUCGGGGGCACAGUCGGUUGAGGGUCUGACUCUUGAUUUUGGCUCGGGUCGGGAGUUUACGGUUCGUGGAAUCCAGCCCUGUGCUGACAGUGGAGCCUGCCUGGGAUUCAUUCUCUCUCUCUCUCUCUCUCUCUCUCUCUCUCUCUCUCUUCCCCUCCCCCGCUUUCUCUCUCUCUCAGAAUAAAUAAACAAAUUUUAAAAACUACUUUUUUUACUAUGAAACAUCUAUUUGUUGGACUUUGCGAACUUUUUUUAUUCUUCGUUUAUUUUUGAGAGACAGCGAGACAGUACAAGUGGGGGAGGAACAGAGAGAGAGAGAGACAGAGAGACACAGAAUCUGAAGCAGGCUCCAGACUCUGAGCUGUCAGCACAGAGCCCAACAUGGGCUCAAACUCACAAACCGUGAGAUCAUGACCUGAGCUGAAGUCAGAUGCUUAACCGAUGGAGCCACCCAGGCGCCCCUGUAAAGAUUUUUAGGAGGAAGAGGGUGAUGCUUGAAAAGAAUCAUGGGUGAUCUGGUCAUUUGGAGUGGGGGGGUGCUUCCUACCUGUCCUCCUCCGGUGAGGGGUUUAGAGGCCGCCUCCCGCCUCCUACCUGAUACUUCCUGAGACACAGGCACUGGGAGGCUGCCUGCUUCCCUGGUGGGAGGGGGUGUGCUCAGACCAGCCAGGUCCCCAAGGGGGCUGCCUUGCCCUGCAAGUCCCGGUUUGCUCCUGGACAGUGCUGGCCGCUGUUAGAGCAUGGAGCUUCAGUUCUCUGCCCCAGGUGCCACAUCACACGUCCCUUGUCCCCGAGCCUUUGUUCCGUGGAAAGAGACUGUACCUGUCUUUGAGGGUGCAGGGGAGUGGUAAGGAGGCCCCAGAACCACACUGGCUGAGAAGCCACCUGGCAGAGGGUGCUCCACUUGCUUUAAAGGUGCUUCUUGUCACGGAGACCGGAACGUGGUGGCAUCAUGUCCGCCAGCAAGGCAGACGAAUGGGUCCUUCUCAUGCAGCUGGGUGGAAACACAAAGCAGUGAGAGUGGUUACUGGGCAGGCUGGCCAGUGAAAGGCAGAGGCUGUCAUUAGACAACUCCCCCCGCCCCCCCGCUGGCCGAGCUUGGGUUGCGGUCCUUCCUUGAGGAAGGACCUGGCUGGUGGCCAGAGGUAGGCUGAUGGCCAGGGUCUCUUCUGCCUUUGAAGGCUGGGACGCACAGCUGAGGUGCAAACUCCCUUCCACGGGGGAUCUGGCCAAAAACAAAAACAAAAACAAAAAAAAAACACUUGCUGGGACUCAACAAUGGCUUACUUCCAGGAGAACAGAGUCUGGAAAGAAGGUUGCAGGACCAGGCCUUUUACUGCUGCGUCAGCGUUCUCCGAAGGAGCAGGACCAAUAGGAUAUAUAGAGCCAUCUCUAGAUUCCCUCAGGAAGUGUCAGGUUCUCUGAAAGGACGGGUAAUUCCGU